GAAAGAUGGCUUUGGCUAUCACUCUGGGAUGGACCUGCGGUGCAUUAGCUAGUUGGUAAGGUGACGGCUUACCAAGGCGAUGAUGCAUAGCCGAGUUGAGAGACUGAUCGGCCACAAUGGAACUGAGACACGGUCCAUACUCCUACGGGAGGCAGCAGUAGGGAAUCUUCCACAAUGGGCGCAAGCCUGAUGGAGCAACACCGCGUGAGUGAAGAAGGGUUUCGGCUCGUAAAGCUCUGUUGUUGGAGAAGAACGUGCGUGAGAGUAACUGUUCACGCAGUGACGGUAUCCAACCAGAAAGUCACGGCUAACUACGUGCCAGCAGCCGCGGUAAUACGUAGGUGGCAAGCGUUAUCCGGAUUUAUUGGGCGUAAAGCGAGCGCAGGCGGUUGCUUAGGUCUGAUGUGAAAGCCUUCGGCUUAACCGAAGAAGUGCAUCGGAAACCGGGCGACUUGAGUGCAGAAGAGGACAGUGGAACUCCAUGUGUAGCGGUGGAAUGCGUAGAUAUAUGGAAGAACACCAGUGGCGAAGGCGGCUGUCUGGUCUGCAACUGACGCUGAGGCUCGAAAGCAUGGGUAGCGAACAGGAUUAGAUACCCUGGUAGUCCAUGCCGUAAACGAUGAGUGCUAGGUGUUGGAGGGUUUCCGCCCUUCA
rnacentral:rRNA from 1 species